rnacentral:rRNA from 1 species
AAUUUAAGGGCGUACGGUGGAUGCCUUGACUUUAAGAAGCGAUGAAGGACGUGGCGUUGCUGCGAUAAGCUUCGGGGAGGUGCUUAGCAACCUUUGAUCCGGAGAUUUCCGAAUGGGGAAACCCCUCCGCGCAAACCGCGGAGACGCGCUUUGCACGCAGUUUAUAAAGUAGAAAGUUAUAAAGUUUAUAAAGUAAAUUCAAAAUAUAAAUGUAUUUGAGUCUACUUUUAACUUUAAGAACUUGAUGAACUUGUAACUUGCGCGCAGAGCGCGAGCGCACCCUGGGAAGUGAAACAUCUCAGUACCAGGAGGAAUAGAGACAAAUAUAUAUUUCCUAAGUAGCGGCGAGCGAAAAGGAAAAAGCCCAAACCCCUCACCCAGAACAGUGCUGUUUGCUCCGCAAACUUUAAGAGAGCAAUCGGUUUGUUAGUUCUAGUGUUUUAUUUUAUACAAAAAUUGACAAAUGAAAUUUGUCGGCACUGUUCUGGGUGAGGGGGGUUGUAAGGUAACAAUGUAGAUUUCUAGAGGAGUCAAAAAACAAGUUAUUAGUUGAAGCUGCUGGAAAGCGACACCAUAGAGGGUGAUAGUCCCGUAAACGAAAAUAAUUUGUCUCUUUUAUUGUUAUUCUUGAGUACCCCAGGACAUGAAUGGCCGGGGGGAAUCCAGCGGAACUAACCGCUAAGGCUAAAUACUCUUAAAGAUCGAUAGUGAACUAGUACCGUGAGGGAAAGGUGAAAAGUAGCCCGAUUAGGGCGGUGAAAUAGACCUGAAACCGUAUGUCUACAAGGAGUUGAACCCCUCACAUGAAGGAGAUAAUUUUGUGAUUGUCUUUUUCAUGUGAGGGGGACAGCGUGCCUAUUGAAGAAUGAGCCAACGAGUUUAUGCAUACUGCUUGCCCCCACACUUAUUUUCACAAAGCGCUAAAAGCGCGCAACGAAAGUUGCAUUGUGAGAAUAAGUGUGGGGGCGAGGCUAAGUGGACUAAAACCAUGGAGCCAUAGGGAAACCGAGUGUUAAUAGCGCGAAAUUAUUAAGUAUUAUGCAUAAGACCCGAAGCCAGGUGAGCUUGCCAUGAGCAGGAUGAAGUAGGUCGAAAGACCUAUGGAGGUCCGAACCGGUAGAUCGUAUAACGUCUUCGGAUGACUUGUGGUAAGGAGUGAAAAGCUA